rnacentral:rRNA from 1 species
AUUGAACGCUGGCGGCAGGCCUAACACAUGCAAGUCGAACGAGUGGCGGACGGGUGAGUAAUGUCUGGGAAACUGCCUGAUGGAGGGGGAUAACUACUGGAAACGGUAGCUAAUACCGCAUACCAUCAGAUGUGCCCAGAUGGUAGUAGCUUGUUGGUGGGGUAACGGCUCACCAAGGCGACGAUCCAUAGCUGGUUUGAGAGGAUGCUCAGCCACACUGGAACUGAGACACGGUCCAGACUCCGACGGGAGGCAGCAGUGGGGAAUAUUGGACAAUGGGCGAAAGCCUGAUCCAGCCAUGCCGCGUGUGUGAAGAAGGCCUUCGGAUUGUAAAGUACUUUAAGUUGGGAGGCGUUACCAACAGAAUAAGCACCGGCUAACUUCGUGCCAGCAGCCGCGGUAAUAC